rnacentral:lncRNA from 10 species
UGUUUGAAUCACAUGACAUUUGAGCAAAAACCUUGAAAGGAAGCUCGGGAGCUUUGCAUAUGAAUGGAUGAAUGCAUUUGAUCAUGGGUGAAGGGUCCUCCGGACAGUGGGAAAGGCAAGUAAACUUCCCUGAGAUGAGAAACUUGGAGCUCAGAGACAUCCGUUAACUUAAAGUGGCUGAAGGGGGACUCCAAUCAGGGCAACCCACCUUAGAGUCCUCUGCUGUCCACCACUGAGCUGGGAAAUGAAGACUCUGCACAUAGCAUUUCAUCUGGCUGAUCCUUGGAGUCCCAGUCUAAGCAGGGCAGAAUAUAUGACUGAAGUGAACUCCACUCGACCUUCAAAUCCAACCCCUCCGAAGAGAAUAUUCCAAGAAUCAAGCAAAACCUGGGAGGUCAAGGAUGUUUCAUCUGCGUUUCCCCAUUCUCUUAGAUUGUCUCUUCUUUCCUCAAGUCUCAUAGAAUCUGAGAGUUAGAAGGUUCUCAAAGGUCAUCUCAAGCACAAUGCUUUGUGAAAUUUGAAGUCCAGCUACAAUAUGCCCAAUAAGCAUUUAUCCAGACUCAAGAGUCCCCAUUGCUGGAGAAUUGGAAUUUAAUAAUACCAAACAUAGCCCAAUCCAUUUUGGAACAAAUCUACUUGUGAGGAAGUUAUUUUAUUGUUGUUUGUUUUACAGCAUGCUGUAGGUGGUCUCUUUGAAUUCCAUCUAAAUACAACUUUUUGUAGUACAGUACUGCAAAUCAUCUAUUCUAAAGAUGCAUAUGUGUUUACACUGUAUCUGUGAACAUUCAUAACAAUUGAAGACACUUCUGAUUGUGCUUGGCUGGGCAGCAGACACGACGUUGUUGCUUAUGCAUGUGUGAGACAGGCUGUUUCAGGUAGUGUGAUAAAAAUUCUCUCAAUAUUUCAGUCAAACUAUUUAAGAGUCUUUGGAAUAAGGAAUAUAAGCCUUCUAUGUCUUAAAAAAAAUUUAUGGAGAUUUUUUGAAAAUCAUGAAAGCACCAGAUUCAAAACAUUCAGAAGGCAUCUUGGAAGAAAAAAAAAAUCUCAGGAGACAAUAGUGGAGGACUCUAAACAAAGUUGUAUUACAGUAUUCUUAAGAGUAAAAUCAAUGGGACGAUAGAGCAAAACUGCUCAACUAAUAUACCUAAUUCAUAGAAUGUAAUAGCUAUUUAGGAAAUGAAACAUUUAUUGUUGAUUUAUGAUGUGCUACUAACUCUGCUAAGCCCUUUCCAUAUUUUAUUCUACUUGAUCCACCCCAAGACCUAAUGAGGUAGUUAGCACAGGGCCACUAUCCCUUAUCCAAAACUUUUAGGCCAAAUUUUGAAAUUCAUAACUAUUUUUAUUAUUUAAGAAUAUAUAGUAUAUGUAUUGUAUCUUGUUUAACCCCACCAGCAGGGUCUGGGAUAGCAUGCUGUAAUCAAACACAUUAAUAUUUUGCAACAAAAUAUGUGCAUAUUCACAGACUGUGGGAUAAAGAAAUAUCAUAGUAAGUCUCCAGUCUCCCGUCUCAUGCCAGUUUAGGUCAAAGAUGAGUUUGUGAUGGGCUUAUGAAAAUGUUUUCUGUUCUCAGGUAUUUGGGGAUUUUAGAUAUGCAAAUUAGUGGUUUGGAAUUUGUAUUAGUGUCUCCAUUUUGCUAAUAAACAAAGUGAGGCUUUGUAAGUAGUUCCCCCUGACGCACACAGCUCAGAGUGUGGAGUUGGGUCUGAGACAAUCAAGGUCUUAACAACGAUGCUUGGCUGCCUCAGUGAAGCAUCCAUCUGCCAGGAGGUUGGGGGUCACUGCCAUGGGCCCUGAGUCUUCUCUUCUUUAGACUGAUCACUUGCCCAUAACUAUCUCUAGACUUCUUGCCACAAUGGCUCUCCUUUGAACACCCCAUGGUUUCUCACUUCUUAAACCACUGUAAGUAUGAAGUCUCCAUGAGGGGAGACUUAACUAACUGCUAAUAGAAGAACAGAAAGAACAGAAAGGUGUGUGGAGUUCCACGCUCCAACAGCAUCUACCACUUGCUCAAUGAAGUUUUUCAAAAAUAAAAAUAUUUUCUAAGCAGAUGAUGUGGCUCUUUUAUCGUGCUCAUCAUUUUAGAGAGAAAAAGAUCAAAGAUAGAGCCACCAUAGGUUCCAAACCCAAGGUUUGGGAAACUCCAUUCCAGUUCUAUUAAAAUUGCAGCUUUUUCAUAUAAAUUUCCCUGGAGAAGAAAUAUCAUAGGAGUUUUAAUAAUAAUAAAGUACAGGUUCUGUAGCCAACUCAUCUGGUUUGAAUCUCGUUCUGACACUUCCUAGCUGUGUAAUCUUAAGCAAAUUACUUAACCUCUCUGUGCCUCUGUUUUUCUAACAAAUGGGGGCAAUGAUAUGACCUACCUUUGAG